UGGUGCCCAACUUUCCCCUCACUGUCCCAUGGGUGUUCCUCCCCAAGCUGUGUGCUCCAUUGAAGGGGAUAGCAUUCCCUGAUAAAGAAGGCUGAUCUAAGAUUUAUGAGGAGCUGAGCUCUCUGGCUAGAACUUCCAAAAAAGCUCUUGAGAUCUGAAGGAAACUCUCACAAGUACUUUUCAACACACUACCUUAAUACAAAAAGGAAUCUGAUUUUU
rnacentral:sRNA from 1 species